rnacentral:misc_RNA from 1 species
GCCCUCGCAAUCAUACAUUCCGUAUACAUUCGAUGGAGUUUUAGAAAAGAAAAACAUAGGUCGGCAGACCUACAACAGGUGCACAUGGUGUGGAAAGGGUCAGAAAUAGUUCAAGGAGUGCACGUGCGUGGCCGCCAGCAACAUCCUCGAGUUUUUUU